UACGUAGGGACCAAGCGUUGUUCGGAUUUACUGGGCGUAAAGGGCGCGUAGGCGGCCUCUGCAAGUCGACUGUGAAAUCUCCGGGCUUAACCCGGAAAGGUCAGCCGAUACUGCAGGGCUAGAGUACAGAAGGGGGCAACUGGAAUUCUCGGUGUAGCGGUGAAAUGCGUAGAUAUCGAGAGGAACACCUGCGGCGAAGGCGGGUUGCUGGGCUGAUACUGACGCUGAGGCGCGAAAGCCAGGGGAGCGAACGGG
rnacentral:rRNA from 1 species